rnacentral:tRNA from 1 species
CGGGGUGUAGCUCAGCUUGGCUAGAGCGCCUGGUUUGGGGCCAGGAAGUCGUAGGUUCGAAUCCUGUCACCCCGA